GCAUAAUCAUUCGCCCCCUAAUUAGGGGAUUGUAUGAACGGGUAAACGAAAAAGACACUGUCUCUUUUAUGCCACUAAAAAUUAACCUUCAGCUGAAGAGGCCUGAAUAAAAAUAAAGGACAAAAAGACCCUAUUGAGCUUUAUUUUAUAAGCCCCAUAUCCCAUUAUCUAUUAAGGUAUAAUAUGCUUCAUAAAUUUGGUUGGGGCGACCGAGGAAAUUUCUUCUCUUCCUUUACCCUCCCGACACCACGUCAUAUAAAAGAGCCGUUAUGCGACCCUUGAAUUAAGCUACCAUAGGGAUAACAGGCUAAUCCUUCUUGAGAGUCCACAUUGACAGAAGGGC
rnacentral:rRNA from 1 species